AUUGGUUGAAUAUCACCCCCAGCUUUGGCCAUGGCCAUGGGUGACAUUUGGCACCCAGAGCCUCCAGGGGCCUCAACUCACUGUGCACUGCCCCAUGUGCAGCAGUGAAACCCAGGCCCUGGUGGGC
rnacentral:snoRNA from 1 species